rnacentral:rRNA from 1 species
CAGCAGCCGCGGUAAUACGGAGGGAGCUAGCGUUGUUCGGAAUUACUGGGCGUAAAGCGCGCGUAGGCGGUUACUCAAGUCAGAGGUGAAAGCCCGGGGCUCAACCCCGGAACUGCCUUUGAAACUAGGUAACUAGAAUCUUGGAGAGGUCAGUGGAAUUCCGAGUGUAGAGGUGAAAUUCGUAGAUAUUCGGAAGAACACCAGUGGCGAAGGCGACUGACUGGACAAGUAUUGACGCUGAGGUGCGAAAGCGUGGGGAGCAAACAGGAUUAGAUACCCCCGUAGUCCCUGUCUCUUAUAC